rnacentral:rRNA from 1 species
GAUGAACGCUGGCGGCGUGCCUAAUACAUGCAAGUCGAGCGAACAGAUGAGGAGCUUGCUCCUCUGACGUUAGCGGCGGACGGGUGAGUAACACGUGGAUAACCUACCUAUAAGACUGGGAUAACAUCGGGAAACCGGUGCUAAUACCGCAUAAUAUAUUGAACCGCAUGGUUCAAGAGUGAAAGACGCAUUUGCUGUCACUAAUAGAUGUAUCCGGGUCGGAUUAGCUGGUUGGUAAGGUAACGGCCAGCCAAGGCGACGAUGCGUAGCCGACCUGAGAGGGUGAUCGGCCACACUGGAACUGAGACACGGUCCAGACUCCUACGGGAGGCAGCAGUGGGGAAUCUUGCGCAAUGGGCGAAAGCCUGACGGAGCAACGCCGCGUGGGUGAUGAAGGUCUUCGGAUCGUAAAACUCUGUUAUUAGGAAAGAACAAAUGUGUAAGUAACUAUGCACGUCUUGACGGUACCUAAUCAGAAAGCCACGGCUAACUACGUG